GUGGAUUUGAGGGGUCUCACAUCGAUUGGAGAAGAGAAUGAGUGACAGCGAGAACGUUGACCCCAAAAGGGAGAUGAAUUGUGAGAUCCCACAU